CCUACGGGAGGCAGCAGUGAGGAAUAUUGGUCAAUGGCCGAGAGGCUGAACCAGCCAAGUCGCGUGAGGGAAGACGGCCCUACGGGUUGUAAACCUCUUUUGUCGGGGAGCAAAGCGAACCACGUGUGGUUCAUUGAGAGUACCCGACGAAAAAGCAUCGGCUAACUCCGUGCCAGCAGCCGCGGUAAUACGGAGGAUGCGAGCGUUAUCCGGAUUUAUUGGGUUUAAAGGGUGCGCAGGCGGAGGUGCAAGUCAGCGGUAAAAUUGCGGGGCUCAACCCCGUACUGCCGUUGAAACUGCAUCCCUUGAGUGCGCGAGAGGUAGGCGGAAUGCGUGGUGUAGCGGUGAAAUGCAUAGAUAUCACGCAGAACUCCGAUUGCGAAGGCAGCAUACCGGCGCGUAACUGACGCUCAUGUACGAAAGCGUGGGUAUCGAACAGGAUUAGAUACCCUUGUAGUC
rnacentral:rRNA from 1 species